AGAAGGGAGCUUGCUCCCGGAUGUUAGCGGCGGACGGGUGAGUAACACGUGGGUAACCUGCCUGUAAGACUGGGAUAACUCCGGGAAACCGGAGCUAAUACCGGAUAGUUCCUUGAACCGCAUGGUUCAAGGAUGAAAGACGGUUUCGGCUGUCACUUACAGAUGGACCCGCGGCGCAUUAGCUAGUUGGUGAGGUAACGGCUCACCAAGGCGACGAUGCGUAGCCGACCUGAGAGGGUGAACGGCCACACUGGGACUGAGACACGGACCAGACUCAUACGGGAGGCAGCAGUAGGGAAUCUUCCGCAAUGGACGAAAGUCUGACGGAGCAACGCCGCGUGAGUGAUGAAGGUUUUCGGAUCGUAAAGCUCUGUUGUUAGGGAAGAACAAGUGCAAGAGUAACUGCUUGCACCUUGACGGUACCUAACCAGAAAGCCACGGCUAACUACGUGCCAGCAGCCGCGGUAAUACGUAGGUGGCAAGCGUUGUCCGGAAUUAUUGGGCGUAAAGGGCUCGCAGGCGGUUUCUUAAGUCUGAUGUGAAAGCCCCCGGCUCAACCGGGGAGGGUCAUUGGAAACUGGGAAACUUGAGUGCAGAAGAGGAGAGUGGAAUUCCACGUGUAGCGGUGAAAUGCGUAGAGAUGUGGAGGAACACCAGUGGCGAAGGCGACUCUCUGGUCUGUAACUGACGCUGAGGAGCGAAAGCGUGGGGAGCGAACAGGAUUAGAUACCCUGGUAGUCCACGCCGUAAACGAUGAGUGCUAAGUGUUAGGGGGUUUCCGCCCCUUAGUGCUGCAGCUAACGCAUUAAGCACUCCGCCU
rnacentral:rRNA from 1 species